rnacentral:rRNA from 1 species
CAGUCGCCGCGGGAAUACGAAGGGGGCUAGCGUUGCUCGGAAUGACUGGGCGUAAAGGGCGCGUAGGCGGAUUGUUUAGUUAGGCGUGAAAUUCCUGGGCUUAACCUGGGGACUGCGCUUAACACAGGCAGUCUAGAGUGAGGAAGAGGGUUGUGGAAUUCCCAGUGUAGAGGUGAAAUUCGUAGAUAUUGGGAAGAACACCGGUGGCGAAGGCGGCAACCUGGUCCUUGACUGACGCUGAGGCGCGAAAGCGUGGGGAGCAAACAGGAUUAGAUACCCCGGUAGUCCCUGUCUCUUAUAC